rnacentral:rRNA from 1 species
UGGGGAAUAUUGCACAAUGGGCGCAAGCCUGAUGCAGCCAUGCCGCGUGUAUGAAGAAGGCCUUCGGGUUGUAAAGUACUUUCAGCGGGGAGGAAGGCGAUAAGGUUAAUAACCUUGUCGAUUGACGUUACCCGCAGAAGAAGCACCGGCUAACUCCGUGCCAGCAGCCGCGGUAAUACGGAGGGUGCAAGCGUUAAUCGGAAUUACUGGGCGUAAAGCGCACGCAGGCGGUCUGUCAAGUCGGAUGUGAAAUCCCCGGGCUCAACCUGGGAACUGCAUUCGAAACUGGCAGGCUAGAGUCUUGUAGAGGGGGGUAGAAUUCCAGGUGUAGCGGUGAAAUGCGUAGAGAUCUGGAGGAAUACCGGUGGCGAAGGCGGCCCCCUGGACGAAGACUGACGCUCAGGUGCGAAAGCGUGGGGAGCAAACAGG